rnacentral:rRNA from 1 species
GACGAACGCCGGCGGCGUGCCUAACACAUGCAAGUCAUGCGAUGAAGCCUUCGGGUGGAUUAGCGGCGGACGGGUGAGUAACACGUGGGUAACCUGCCUCAAAGAGGGGGAUAGCCUCCCGAAAGGGAGAUUAAUACCGCAUAACAUUAGAUUGUAGCAUGACAGUUUAAUCAAAGCAGUAAUGCACUUUGAGAUGGACCCGCGGCGCAUUAGCUAGUUGGAGAGGUAACGGCUCACCAAGGCGACGAUGCGUAGCCGACCUGAGAGGGUGAUCGGCCACAUUGGAACUGAGACACGGUCCAGACUCCUACGGGAGGCAGCAGUGGGAAUAUUGCACAAUGGGCGAAAGCCUGAUGCGGCAACGCCGCGUGAGUGAUGAAGGCCUUCGGGUUGUAAAGCUCUGUCUUCUGGGACGAUAAUGACGGUACCAGAGGAGGAAGCCACGGCUAACUACGUGCCAGCCGCCGCAGUAA